UACGAAGGGGGCUAGCGUUGCUCGGAAUCACUGGGCGUAAAGCGCACGUAGGCGGCUUUCUAAGUCAGGGGUGAAAUCCUGGAGCUCAACUCCAGAACUGCCUUUGAUACUGAGGAUCUUGAGUUCGGGAGAGGUGAGUGGAACUGCGAGUGUAGAGGUGAAAUUCGUAGAUAUUCGCAAGAACACCAGUGGCGAAGGCGGCUCACUGGCCCGAUACUGACGCUGAGGCACGAAAGCGUGGGGAGCAAACAGG
rnacentral:rRNA from 1 species